UCGAUUAGAGUUUGAUUCUGGCUCAGAACGAACGCUGGCGGCAGGCUUAACACAUGCAAGUCGAACGCACCGCAAGGUGAGUGGCAGACGGGUGAGUAACGCGUGGGAACCUUCCCUUUGGUACGGAAUAACUUCGGGAAACCGAAGCUAAUACCGUAUAAGUCCUUCGGGAGAAAGAUUUAUCGCCAAAGGAUGGGCCCGCGUUGGAUUAGCUAGUUGGUAGGGUAAAGGCCUACCAAGGCUACGAUCCAUAGCUGGUCUGAGAGGAUGAUCAGCCACACUGGGACUGAGACACGGCCCAGACUCCUACGGGAGGCAGCAGUGGGGAAUAUUGGGCAAUGGGCGCAAGCCUGACCCAGCGACGCCGCGUGGGUGAUGAAGGCCUUCGGGUUGUAAAGCCCUGUCGUGUGGGAAGAACAGCCCUGAGUCGAAUACGCUCAGGGUUUGACGGUACCACAGGAGGAAGCACCGGCUAACUCCGUGCCAGCAGCCGCGGUAAUACGGAGGGUGCGAGCGUUGUUCGGAAUUACUGGGCGUAAAGGGCGUGUAGGCGGUUAUGUAAGUCAGUUGUGAAAUACUCCGGCUCAACUGGAGAACUGCAUCUGAAACUACAUAGCUAGAGUACAGAAGAGGGAAACGGAAUUCCCGGUGUAGAGGUGAAAUUCGUAGAUAUCNNNAGGAACACCAGUGGCNNNNG
rnacentral:rRNA from 1 species